rnacentral:rRNA from 1 species
CACGGGGGGAGCAAGCGUUGUUCGGAAUCACUGGGCGUAAAGGGCUCGUAGGCGGCCAACUAAGUCGGACGUGAAAUCCCCCGGCUUAACCUGGGAACUGCGUCUGAUACUGGAAGGCUUGAGUAUGGGAGAGGGAUGUAGAAUUCCAGGUGUAGCGGUGAAAUGCGUAGAUAUCUGGAGGAAUACCGGUGGCGAAGGCGGCAUCCUGGACCAUUACUGACGCUGAGGCGCGAAAGCUAGGGGAGCAAACGGGG